UAAUACAGAGGGUGCAAGCGUUAAUCGGAAUUACUGGGCGUAAAGCGCGCGUAGGUGGUUUGUUAAGUUGGAUGUGAGAGCCCUGGGCUCAACCUAGGAAUAGCAUUCAAAACUGGCAGACUAGAGUAUGGUAGAGGGAAGGGGAAUUCCAGGUGUAGCGGUGAAAUGCGUAGAUAUCUGGAGGAACAUCAGUGGCGAAGGCGCCUUCCUGGACUAAUACUGACACUGAGGUGCGAAAGCGUGGGUAGCAAACAGGAUUAGAUACCCUGGUAGUCCACGCCGUAAACGAUGUCAACUAGGUGUUGGAGAGUCUAACUCUUUGGUACCGCAGCUAACGCGUUAAGUUGACCGCCUGGGGAGUACGGUCGCAAGAUUA
rnacentral:rRNA from 1 species